GUGCAAUCAUCUCACAAACUCACCAUUCACUUGAGCUGUGCCACGGGCAGAUAUUUUGUUUCUUGUUUAAAUAAUUGAAAGCAUAAGAGGGGCCGCAUGCCCCUAUGUGGUGUUCUCAGUACAAAGAGCAUGUCGUUCUAUGAUAGGGAGAUGGGGAAUUUUAUGGGAAGUGAGUCCACUAGCAGAAAUGCAAGUAUGAAGGUAGGCAGCCAUCCGCUCCACCUACCUGUUUAGAGUAGCUGCAUGCCGUCCUGUCUCAGCAGCUACCUUGUAAAGUGGCCAAGCUGCAGAGAGCAUUUGUAUGGGCUUUUUUUUUUUUUUUUUUUAAAGGCGCUGUCACCUUUAAGGGUGUUUCUGAAAAGAUUCCUGAAGGUGAUAUGCUUGCUUUGGGUGUAGUUGCCCAGUAGUGCAGAGGUAAGUAGAUAU